GACGAACGCUGGCGGCGCGCCUAACACAUGCAAGUCGAGCGAUGAAAUUUUAACCGAUCUCUUCGGAGAGAAGAUAAAAUGGAUUAGCGGCGGACGGGUUAGUAACACGUGAGAAACCUGCCUUUCACAAGGGGAUAGCCUCGGUAAACCGGGAUUAAUACCCUCUGACACAUUUCCUUCGCAUGGAAGAAAUGUUAAAACUCCGGUGGUGAAAGAUGGUCUCUCGCCUGAUUAGCUAGUUGGUGGGGUAACGGCCCACCAAGGCCAUGAUCAGUAACCGGCCUGAGAGGGUGAACGGUAACAUUGGAACUGAGACACGGUCCAAACUCCUACGGGAGGCAGCAGUGGGGAAUAUUGAACAAUGGAGGAAACUAGGAGGCAGCGACGCCGCGUGAGCGAUGAAGGAGUUCGAGUCGUAAAGCUCUGUCCUAUGGGAAGAUAAUGACGGUACCAUAGGAGGAAGCCACGGCUAACUACGUG
rnacentral:rRNA from 1 species